UACGGAGGGUGGCAAGCGUUAUCCGGAUUCACUGGGUUUAAAGCGGUGCGAGCAGGCGGCUUUGCAAGACAGAUGUGAAAUCCCCGGGCUUAACCUGGGAGCUGCAUUUGUGACUGCAUGGCUGGAGUGCGGCAGAGGGGGAUGGAAUUCCGCGUGUAGCAGUGAAAUGCGUAGAAUAUGCGGAGGAACACCGAUGGCGAAGGCAAUCCCCUGGGCCUGCACUGACGCUCAUGCACGAAAGCGUGGGGAGCAAAACAGG
rnacentral:rRNA from 1 species